rnacentral:rRNA from 1 species
ACUCAAAUGAAUUGACGGGGACCCGCACAAGCAGUGGAGCAUGUGGUUUAAUUCGAUGCAACGCGAAGAACCUUACCCAGGUUUGACAUGCAGACGACAGUCGUAGAAAUACGAUCUUCCUUCGGGACGUCUGCACAGGUGCUGCAUGGCUGUCGUCAGCUCGUGCCGUGAGGUGUUGGGUUAAGUCCCGCAACGAGCGCAACCCUUAUCGUUAGUUGCCAUCAUUUAGUUGGGAACUCUAGCGAGACUGCCUGGGUUAACCAGGAGGAAGGUGAGGAUGACGUCAAGUCCGCAUGGCCCUUAUAUCUGGGGCUACACACGUGCUACAAUGGUCGGUACAAAAGGCAGCGAAACCGCAAGGCGGAGCAAAUCCCAAAAGCCGAUCCCAGUUCAGAUUGUAGUCUGCAACUCGACUACAUGAAGUUGGAAUUGCUAGUAAUGGCGAGUCAGCAACAUCGCCGUGAAUACGUUCCCGGGUCUUGCACACACCGCCCGU